rnacentral:rRNA from 1 species
CGAUUAUAAGUUAGUGGCGGACGGGUGAGUAACGCGUGAAUAACCUGCCCUGUACCGGGGGACAACAGUUGGAAACGGCUGCUAAUACCGCAUAAGCGCACGGUUCCGCAUGGAACAGUGUGAAAAACUCCGGUGGUACAGGAUGGAUUCGCGUCUGAUUAGCCAGUUGGUGGGGUAACGGCCUACCAAAGCAACGAUCAGUAGCCGGCCUGAGAGGGUGAACGGCCACAUUGGGACUGAGACACGGCCCAAACUCCUACGGGAGGCAGCAUG